AUGUCUGUAGAUAUUCUUGCUGCACCAGAUUUGAGCUUGAAUGUGAGAUGUACCAGAAAGGUCCAAGAGAACCGAGGAGAGGGAGAGGAGAAUCAGAUGGAGAUCACAGAGGAUGAAGAGUAUCACGUUGAUCUUGGGCCACAAACAGCCAGAGCACAAACUCAAAAGAAUCGUGCAGCUGUCAAAAGAAGGUGUUUCAAAGUCACUACAGUGACUCUGGGAGUGAUGUAUCUUCUGAUAUUGGCUGGAACCUACAUUCGCUAUAUUUCAGUCGUUUUGGAAAAAACCCAACUGCAGACCAGAUACGACCAACUGAGUAACAACUACAGCCAACUCCAGGGAACAAUGUCAGUCAACAACAGGCAGUUACAGGAUGAAGUAAAGCAGCUGAAGGAUAAAAUUGAAGGGAUGUCGUGUCCUAAAGGGUGGAGGGAAUAUGGAUGCAGUUGUUACUUUAAAUCCAAUGAGAAGAAAACCUGGUCUUACAGCAGAUCUGACUGUAGGAACAAAGGAACAGAUCUGGUGAUCAUAAACUACGAAGAGGAACAGUUGAGAGUGUUUGUUACUGAGUGUGUGAUCCUACUAACUGCCAGUCAUCUGUUACUUGUGUGUUUGAGCUGCUGUUUGUGUACACUGGUUGGUCGACAAGAGGAGCUGAAUUUUAGUGUUUCAGAUUUUUGCAGCAUGGAGGAACUGAAAAGUUGCAACAGAUUUUCAAAUAAUAGAAAUUUGUCACUGAGCUGAGUUCGUAUGGAGAUUCCUGGAUUGGACUACAGGGCACAAAGGAAAAACGGACAGGAUGAGGAUGGGAAUGGGAAUGGGUGGACAGUUCACCACUGACAGAAACAUGAGAUGUUUUUUUAUUUCAAUCACAUUUUCUUCAAAGUUACUGUUUGUCACUACAAUAAUUAUGUUGUAGAUGGAAAAUUAAAAUGUGCUUAUUGAACCAGCACUAUAUCAGCAUACAGUAUACUGUAUAUUACAGUAAAUGCACUAUACUGUAUUAAUACAGGCUCCAGGAUCAACAUGUGUUUGACAGAGAGAAAACUUCUCAAUUCUGUCAAAUAAAUGUGAUUAAAGGAGCAUUUCACCCAUGGAAACAUUAAUAUUUAUUGAAAGUGGGUUAUAUAUGUAGUCGAAAUGUAACAUACAUUUUGAAUUUGGUGCCUAUUUGACCGAGAAAAG
rnacentral:lncRNA from 15 species